rnacentral:misc_RNA from 1 species
UUGGAUCUAGAGCAAUUUUACGGUUCUUGAGGAGGUACCAUGAGGUACCACUUUUUCUAUUAUAAAUUUGGUAUCUCUUGGUAUCUAGUUAUUAUGAGGUACCAAAUUUUACACUAAAUUUUUAGUACCUUAUGGUACCUCCUUAGGUACAGUAGAUUUGCUCUUGGAUC